UACACAAAAAACAACAAAUUCUUGCUCACCAAACACAUCAUUAAGGAACACAAAAAACCAGAUAUUUUGUUUCCUUUUAAUCCAUCAACCCCUCUUCUUGUCUUUACUCAUUUGUUCUAUUUUCAGAUUUUUAUCACUGACCCAACUCUGAAAAAUUCAAUCUUUUUUGAGUCCUCAGCUUUACCUUUUAAUGUGAUUCCACUUCAAAAAUAUUAUCUUGUUUCUUGGAUUAUGCCUAGAUCUUAGUCUAUUUCAAGACGACAGGAAAAUUCAUUGGAUUAGUCAGGGACAACUGUGGAUUAUAUAGAACUUAUAAUUUCGUUUAGGCAAGACAGUGAAUUUUGUGAGGUGAAUGAGAUAGCCAAUGGAUUGCUUUCAAUUGGUUUUGCACCUUAGGCCUUUCUGAUUGAUGACACGUCUUCUCUUCUGAGAGUAUUUCAAUCAGUAAAGCAAGUACAGGUUUGCUGGAAAGAGACAAAACAUCUUGUAGUGAUGAUGAAACAGAUACUCAGUAAGCUUCCUAGGAAGCCGUCUUCUAAGUCAGCUGAAAAUCGUGAUGGAGGAAUUUCGACAUUUCCCUCAAAUGCUUCAACUAGUUCUCCGUUUGGGAAUGGAGAUGGACUUCCCCUGGAUGUAAAUAAUGAGGUGAAUGGAACAGAUUCCCUGUAUGAGGCGUUGCCUAGUUUUAGAGAUGUACCAAAUUCUGAUAAACAAAACUUGUUCAUCAAAAAGCUGAACUUAUGUUGUGUCUUGUUUGACUUUACUGAACCUAUGAAAGAUUUGAAGGAAAAAGACAUCAAGCGACAGACCUUGGUGGAGCUAGUUGAUUAUGUUACUUCUGCAGAUGGGAAAUUCACGGAAACUGUCGUACAAGAAACAGUUAAAAUGGUGUCGUUAAACUUAUUCAGGUCUCGUGGUCCUCAACCUCAUGAAAACAAACUAUUGGAAGCUCUUAUCCUGGAAGAAGACGAACCCUUGAUGGACCCCACAUGGCCACACGUGCAAAUUGUGUAUGAGUUGCUUCUCCGGUUCGUGGCAUCACCGGAGACGGAUCCAAAAUUGGCUAAGCGAUACAUUGACCACGCAUUUGUUAUCAAAAUAUUAGAUCUCUUUGAUUCCGAUGAUCCAAGAGAAAGGGAGUACUUAAAAACUGUACUGCACCGAAUGUACGGAAAGUUCAUGGUGCACCGCCCGUUCAUAAGGAAAUCAAUCAACCACAUAUUUUACAGGUCUAUUUUUGAAACUGAGAAGCAUAAUGGAAUAGCAGAACUCUUAGAAAUUUUGGGAAGUAUAAUUAAUGGAUUUGCUCUGCCAUUGAAGGAAGAGCACAAAUUGUUCCUCGUUCGAGCUCUUAUUCCGCUUCAUAAACCAAAGAGUAUACAAAUGUAUCAUCAGCAGUUAUCUUACUGCAUAACACAAUUUUUAGAAAAAGACUGCAAGCUUGCUGAUACUGUUAUAAGAGGUUUGUUGAAAUACUGGCCAAUCACAAACAGUUCAAAGGAGGUAAUGUUCUUAGGUGAACUUGAGGAGGUAUUAGAAGCAACUCAGCCACAAGAAUUCCAGCGUUUUAUGGUUCCAUUGUUUCGUCAAAUGAGCCUUUGUUUGAGCAGCUCACACUUUCAGGUGGCUGAGAGGUCUUUGUUCCUGUGGAACAAUCAUCAUGUUGAGAACCUAAUCAGACAAAAUCGUAAAGUUAUACUGCCAAUAAUCUUCCCUUCCUUGGAGAAGAAUGCUAGAGGCCACUGGAAUCAUGCAGUAAAAAGUUUUACAUUAAACGUUCGCAAAAUUUUCUCCGACAUCGAUGCUGAACUCUUCGAAGGGUGCUUGCAGAAAUUCGAAGAGGAUCAGGCCCGGGAAGAAGAGACAAAAUUGAAACGUGAGACUACAUGGAAAAGAUUAGAAGAAAUCGCUGCAUUGAAUGCUACAAGCAAUGAGUUAGUGCUAGUUUCUUGAAGGAUAGAACUGUACAUAUGCAAUUGCAUGAUCAGAGAACCUCGAGAUUUUUUUUAGUCUGUAGCUGGAUUUAUUCGAUAGGUGUAUCCUCUUUGUUGGAUUUACAAAUGAUUGAAAGAGAACAAUUCUUCAGGUUAUCUGUCAAGGGCUAAGCUAUGUACAAUGAAGGGGAUUCCACUGAAUCCUACACAACUGUCAGGAGUUCGAAUCCUACAAUAUCAUCACUUGUUUUGAGUCCUAAUACUCAGUUGAGUCUAACCUUAUUUUAAGUCAACUAUUUGAAAAGAAAAGUAGAUGGAUGAAAGAAUGUCACAUUAUAUUCUAAACA